rnacentral:lncRNA from 1 species
CCUACCAGCACUCAACUCACAGAGGGGAUACUAAUACACCCCUGGCUGAGUAUUCAGCCAAUAGAUGAAAAAAGAUUCAAGGAAGACACAUUUGCUUUUUAUUCACUCAUCACUUCCCAUCACUAUGCUGACCAGAGUCAAUGUGAGCAGAGUUGAGAAUAGCAGUUUUCUGGCAGGAGAGCCACUUCUCAGCAAAAAAUGACACACUCAAAGUAUAAAUCUUUCAUGGAAGGCUCACAUAUUUUCAGCAAAUUAAGCAUAUGCAUGAAUAAAAUUCUUGUGGUGA